UGGGAGCUCAUAGCCUGGAACGAAGCACGGUUGUGCUUGGUUUCUCGAGCCAUCCAUAAAAUCGCGCUUCGUUUCAUGCUAUGCGCGUCCAUGAU
rnacentral:pre_miRNA from 1 species